AACGAACGCUGGCGGCAUGCCUAACACAUGCAAGUCGAACGAGACCUUCGGGUCUAGUGGCGCACGGGUGCGUAACGCGUGGGAACCUGCCCUUAGGUUCGGAAUAACUCCCCGAAAGGGGUGCUAAUACCGGAUAAUGUCUUCGGACCAAAGAUUUAUCGCCUUUGGAUGGGCCCGCGUUGGAUUAGCUAGUUGGUAGGGUAAAAGCCUACCAAGGCGACGAUCCAUAGCUGGUCUGAGAGGAUGAUCAGCCACACUGGGACUGAGACACGGCCCAGACUCCUACGGGAGGCAGCAGUGGGGAAUAUUGGACGAUGGGCGAAAGCCUGAUCCAGCAAUGCCGCGUAAGAGAUGAAGGCCUUAGGGUUGUAAAGCUCUUUUACCCGGGAUGAUAAUGACAGUACCGGGAGAAUAAGCUCCGGCUAACUACGUG
rnacentral:rRNA from 1 species